rnacentral:rRNA from 1 species
GACGAACGCUGGCGGCGUGCUUAACACAUGCAAGUCGAGCGGAAAGGCCCUUUCGGGGGUACUCGAGCGGCGAACGGGUGAGUAACACGUGAGUAAUCUGCCCUUGGCUUUGGGAUAACUACCGGAAACGGUGGCUAAUACCGGAUACGACCAAUCACUGCAUGGUGUGUUGGUGGAAAGUUUUUUCGGCCAGGGAUGUGCUCGCGGCCUAUCAGCUUGUUGGUGGGGUAAUGGCCUACCAAGGCUCGACGGGUAGCCGGCCUGAGAGGGUGACCGGCCACACUGGGACUGAGACACGGCCCAGACUCCUACGGGAGGCAGCAGUGGGGGAAUAUUGGACAAUGGGGCGGAAGCCUGAUCCAGCAACGCCGCGUGAGGGAUGACGGCC